UGAAAUAGACCUGGUAGGGCAGUUCUUUGCAGAACAUCGGGUUUGGCGUGUAAUAAGGAGCGUGAAAGUACGAGUGCUUAAUAACCUUUUUUUAAAAAUGUUCACAGACAGUGCUCCGUUAAUCCUUAGUUUACGCGCCUUAUGCUUGUACACUUAUUUUAUAGAGAGUUACUGUGCGGAAUUACCGACAGACUGGCAGAGCAGAAUAGAUCUAUCGGUUAAUGAAUCAACAGAACCGGAAACUGGAGAUGACAUCAUUUGGGACGAUGGGGGGUAUGCCCUGCUCGCAUCCGCGGACGUGGAUGAGACAGACCACCGGGUUUCGUUCAGUUAUUGGCCUGAUAGCGGGAAAGGUGUUCCUUACUUCAUACAUCCAGCUUUUGGUGACGCGGAUCGUCAAAAAAUUCUGAAAGCUUUGCGAACCAUAGAGCGUUGAGUAGAUAAUUGUGUACAGUUCAAAGUACGUGCAAAUGAAGAGGAGCACAUUUCAAUCGUGCCAUAUGGACGAGGUUGCCUGUCUCACGUGGGACGGACUCCUCGCCGCGUUACCGAGGUCCGACUCAGCAGGAACUGCAUGAAAGAAGGCAUUAUUAUGCACGAACUUCUACAUGCACUCGGCUUUUACCACGAGCAAAACCGGCCAGAUCGGGAUGAGUUUGUGCAGGUGUACCCUGAGAACAUACAACCAGAAAUGUACGA